GCAGUGAGGUGGGGGGAGGGAGCGCCAAGGAAACAGCGGAUAAACGGCCUAUUCUUCCUUUGGGGUCCACAUCUCUCAUUAAAAGUGUAAAACCAGGUUCAGGUGUUUGGGAGACAGCGUCAGGUGAGCUGUCUGAGGAGCAAGGCAGAUGGAAGGAAAGACGGUGACACACAAGGGAGUCCGGCCUGGGGCAGCCAAAGGAAGCGUAGCUCACCAGCUUUAGCUAACAGAAGACUCUAGAAGGUAAUGGGGUCAGGAGGUCAAGAAGCACAGCAACUUCCCACCUUUUUCCUUGUCACAGAAGUGAAGGGAAAGGGGCGGCUAUGUUGUCGCCUGGUGGGACCACCUGGGCUCCCUCCCCCAGGCUCCCGGCUGGGCUCCAGGAGGAGGAGGAAGGGUAAGCCACAGAACCAAGAGGAAGCAAGGCUCUGCCCCAGCACUGGUGCUUUGGGAGGGAGGAAGUCACUGGGGGCAGAACUGUUGGGAAUUGAGAUUAAAACGUGUCCAUCACCAGUUGUGACCUGCUGUCCUGAGAGCAAGAGAAAUCUUCCUCAGUGACUCCCCCCUCAUCCCUUACCCUGGAGCUCUGGGCUAGGGUUGUGGGGGCCCGGAGAAGUGGAGACACAGCUCCCGCCGGCCCGAAACUUCGAGGCGAGCCUGUGGCUCUUGGAACCAUGAGUGGAGGUGGGGAGGAGAGGGUGCAGGUGCUCGGGGGCUCAGGGAUGCUUGGAGAGCAUCUUGACGGUGGGUUUCGAGGUCUGGAUGAUCUCAAGGCACAGAGGGAAAGCUUGGGUCCUCAUGGCCAGGAGCCCACGAUAGGGUGGCAGCAACGUGCACCCUGUUGGGUAACGAACGGGGUGAGACGUGGGGAGAUGGUGGAGGGCCAGCCCCCAACCGAUGGGCCCGGGAGCAGAGAAGAUGGGCCAGUUGAUGAUCAUCGGAGGGGAGAAGCUGUCCCGGAGGAGAGGGAGCAGAGAAGUGCCCUGAAGAACGGGGUGGGUGUUUAAGAGGCCAGAGGAGGAGUCCCAUAAGGCAGGUGUCACAGAGACAUCCGUGCUCCAGCCACCCUCCCCAACCCCGCCCCGGGUCUGCUCCCCGUUUCAGAGCACGGAUGGCUCAGGAGAGAUGGAAACCUCGAGGCCCAGAGAAAGGCAGAGGCCUGGCUGGCGAAGGAGCCAGGAAAGCACUGGUUAAAGUGGUCUCAGCAGGAGCAGGUUUGGUUUCUGUAUCGGGUCCUCCUUGGCCAUCGGAUGGCCUGAGGGGCCCACGUCGGCUUCCUCAGCCACCACCCUCCAGAGUGGCCUCAAAGAGGAGGCUCUGCGGCGUCCACCCUGGCCUCCCGGAAGGCCACGGUCUUAACAGUGAUGCCACCUCCCAACGGCCCGGGGUCUUGGCACGUGCUGUCGCUCAGGGUCACACGGAAGGGGUUCGACCCCGGCAGGAGGGAGCCGGAGGCCCCCAGAUUUUCUGUCCCUUCUUGCUGCUCCCCACACCUCUGUCCGCUGCCUCCCGGAAAGUGGUCCUGGGGGAGGCCGGCUGAUGGGCGCAGAGGGAGACCAGGGCCACUGAGUUCAAAGUGAUUUGCUCUGAAGUCCCGGGUCUCAGAUAAAAUAAGCAGCGUGCACAUUUUCCGGGCUGUGUCUGAGGCCGACGCUGUGAGUCAGCAGUGGGACUUGGCCCUUGAGCCGUUUUUCGGAGGUGAAAGGGUGGGGACUGCCUGUUUCUCCUGGAGGAGGACAAGCGGGGCCGAGUGACCACUGGCACCUAAGUGCGUCCCCGCUCAGGUAAGAGCCUUGCUUACGGAGAGGGAUGCAGAGGGGUUCGCCGAGCUACUCAAGCCCCCAAGACAUGAGAGUUCCACGCGGGGGGAGUCACUAGGUGCUAGCGUGGGGCCUCCUGUGGGCGCCUGGCAGCAAAGGGUAGCUUUCACAACGCCUGGAAACUCUUUCCUUGAUUUUUAUCCCAAGGGCCACCACACCGUGCAGUCCCACGCAAAGCAAGUCAUUUCAGGGUGGCUUUGACUGAAUGAUGAUCACUCACAGCCAUCAGCCUUGAGGGCUCCUGACCUGGACCCAGAGAAGGCCCUGCCCGCUGGCUGCCUCGGGUCAGGGUCUCUGGAGAGCUGGAUUUGCAGAGGGUCCAAAGACGCCCUGAGCUUCUUGUUUUGCAGUGGGAAAUUCGCCUUCAUAAGAGGGCUACUGUUGACAGGUGUGAGAUUGGACUUGAUCUGAGGCCAACACCUCCAGUCCCGGAGCCAGCUCCGUGAGCCGAAAACAUGCACCAGCCCUCCAGUAAUACCACUGCAGCCAGCCAGAGUCUCAACAAUUUAAGGCUUAACACACACAACAUAAAUCAGCGGAGGAUGGACCAGCCGACCGGCAGCUUCUUGGGUGGAUGCCUGCAGACAGUCUGCAGAUCAGACCCUGCCUGUUUGGGGAAGCCCCGACUCCUUACACGUGGACUUUCAGCAUUUUGGAAAUGGAGGCGUAAAGAAGUGCGUGACACAAAAUCCAGCCAUGGGGGCCCAUGAUCCCUCGAGGAGACAGCCCACUUCUAGGAAGUGGCCGUGGAAGGCAGCGCACGAUUACACGUCCUCACGAGCAUUCCAUAGCGACGGCAGAGACUGUAUCCUGAGGCCCCCUCCAAGGCAGGGACGGGAUGCACCAGUGGCACGAGCCCUGGACCAGGAGUCCCAGGAUGGGGACUUCAGGCCUGCCUCCAACCGGGCCAAUCCCUGUCCUGCCCCGGGCCUCCGGUGGCUCAUGAGGGAAAGGAGGGCCUUUGAGCAAAGAUGCGUAAGGUCCCUUUCAACUCUAACUUCACCAUUCCCAUCUGAUCUUUGGGGAGCAGUGGUUGUGGGCUCUCCCACUGGGAGUUCACCCAAGGAAAUGGCACUUGACUGAAGGCGCUGCCAUAAAACCACUGCGGGGCUACUGUCCUCCUGCAGGACAAGGAGACCCUGGAGGUGAUGCUGUGUGGCUCAUCUGGCAGGACGGACGGAUUGUAACACCCUGGUGAGACACCACCGCCACCAACGCGGGUACAAUGCUAGCAGUGAGGGCAGCCCAGGUGGCUCAGCGGCUUGGUGCCCGCCUUCAGCCCAGGGCGUGAUCUUAGGGUCCCGGGAUCGAGUCCCACGUCAGGCUCCCUGCAUGGAGCCUGCUUCUCCCUCUG